GACGAACCGUGCGAACGUUAUUCGGAAUCACUGGGCUUAAAGGGCGCGUAGGCGGGUCACCAAGUCCGGGGUGAAAUCCCACGGCCCAACCGUGGAAGUGCCUUGGAUACUGAUGACCUCGGGGGGGGUAGGGGCGUGCGGAACUCAGGGUGGAGCGGUGAAAUGCGUAGAUAUCCUGAGGAACACCGGUGGCGAAAGCGGCGCGCUGGACCACUUCUGACGCUGAGGCGCGAAAGCUAGGGUAGCGAACGGG
rnacentral:rRNA from 1 species